AGUGAACGCUAGUGGCGUGCUUAACACAUGCAAGUCGAACGGACGAUAUUUGUGCUUGCACAAAUAAAGUUAGUGGCAAACGGGUGAGUAAUACAUGAGAAUUUUCCUUGCAGUACGGAAUAACUAUUGGAAACAGUAGCUAAUACCGUAUAUUGCCGAGAGGUGAAAGAUUUAUCGCUGCAAGAUAAGCCCAUGCAAGAUUAGCUUGUUGGUAAGGUAAUGGCUUACCAAGGCUACGAUCUUUAGCUGGUUUGAGAGGAUGAUCAGCCACACUGGAACUUAGACACGGUCCAGACUCCUACGGGAGGCAGCAGUGAGGAAUAUUGGGCAAUGGAGGCAACUCUGACCCAGCCAUGCCGCGUGCAGGAAGACGGCCCUAUGGGUUGUAAACUGCUUUUAUACAGGAAGAACACCACCCACGUGUGGGUGACUGACGGUACUGUAAGAAUAAGGACCGGCUAACUCCGUGCCAGCCGCCGCCGUAACAC
rnacentral:rRNA from 1 species